UGCAGACAGGCAGCGGGCGUGCUGACCGCGGGCACUGCCGUGCUCACAGGUGCCUUGCGCUCACAGGGGAUGCUCUGAGUGGUCCAGGUUCAAAGUGAGCAGCCGUGAAGCUCUCCUGGGAGACCGAGCCAGCGGAACCUGUGUAAGAGCCGGACAUGUGGAGAUGAGUAGAAUCUGCCUGUGGUCUUCAAGGAACACGCUAUCCGUUGGAAUAGUAUAGGUCCUGCUUGUGCUCAGGCGCUGACAUCCCUGCCAACACACAAAGCUCCGCGUCACACAGAAGCAGGAGGGCGCGGACUCUGGAGAAAUAUGUUGAAAUUUUUUUAAAAAAUGCUGUGAGAUUGCUGUAUGGACUUCCUGACUAAGAAUACAAAAAUGAAAACUCAUUUAUUAUCUGCAUUGUUCUGCCUUAAAAAUCAAUGAAAGCACCCACCAGAAUGUUAUUUAAAUUGAAAUACGACCAUGCAUUGAAAGUCAGCGCAGCUUGAAGGACACGUGACCUUCUCACGGCCGUUCGUGUCUCGCUCCGGCCGAUGACCUGUGUGUCUCUGUUGAGAGACCCCAGCCCAACGGCCCCGUGCCUGCGCUGCCUCCAUCCCGGGGGCACCACUGGGGAUGCUGGCAGCAUCGGUCCUGCUGUUCUGGAAGGGCUAACGUUGUGCAUUAACAUUAAACAUAAACGUGUGUGUAAGUUUUAAGCACGUGCGUGCGUGCGUGCUUCAGUCGUGUCCACUUCUUUGCAACCGCAUGGACUGUAGCCCCCCAGGCCCCUCUGUCCACGGGAUUCUCCAGGCAGGAAUACUGGGGUGGUUGCCAC